rnacentral:tRNA from 1 species
GCACCAAUGGAGUGCGGGCUGGGAUGACUCUUAAUCAGUGGGCCCAGGGUUCGAGUCCCUGGAGGUGCACCA